GACAGAGGGUGCAAACGUUGUUCGGAAUUACUGGGCGUAAAGCGUGUGUAGGCGGCUUUGUAAGUCGGAUGUGAAAGCCCCGGGCUCAACCUGGGAAGUGCAUUCGAUACUGCAAAGCUUGAGUAUCGGAGAGGUCGGUAGAAUUCUCGGUGGAGAGGUGAAAUUCGUAGAUAUCGAGGGGAAUACCAGUGGCGAAGGCGGCCGACUGGACGAAUACUGACGCUGAGACACGAAAGCGUGGGGAGCAAACAGGAUUAGAUCCCCUGGUAGUCCACGCCGUAAACGAUGGGUGCUAGGUGUCACGGGCUUUGACUCUUGUGGCGCCGUAGCUAACGCGUUAAGCACCCCGCCUGGGAAGUACGGCCGCAAGGCUAAA
rnacentral:rRNA from 1 species